GUGGGCACACCCAAAUACCCGUAGCAACCCACAUCUUUGCAUCAUGCUGGUAGUCACAAGGAGGCAAUACCCAGGACUCCACCAGCUGGAAAGCCCCGUCUCUCUGCACAAGCAUUGCUUAUUACUACACCACAGCUCACAGAUCUUCAGAAGUCAACCCACUCCAUGAAUCCGUGUUUCCUAAUGCUGAGAGUCCCAUUGCCUCUGCCAGUCUGCUAGUUCCAUCGCUCCUCUCUCAACCCACCUGCCCCCCUGUAACAGCUUAUUCAAUGUACUUGCGUCCUCCCCAGUCAUUCUCCAUGGGUGCAGCACAUCUGAAGGGAUAAACUACCCUGAAGCAGAUGUUUGACACCAUGUUAAAAGCAGGAUCUAUGAUUGGCUACAGGAAGGAAAGUACCAUGUUAUUACAAGAGGUGACCUCCUCAAGGAUAGAAGCAUUACAAUGAUGGUCCGUGUAAUGAAGAGGAGGUAAAAUAAUAAAAAGAGGGAGACCAAAGCCUUACCAAGGACACUGUCAGUGAAUUUGCAUGGAUAGCUGUCAGAUGGGGCUGAUUUGAGGAUGAAGUCCACUGGUUCAGCAUCCUGGUGGGCUUCCUAAUCAAGUUUGAGUCUCCUGGUGCUACUCCACGAGUAGUUCCGUGGACACUGCUACUGCUCCUGGAGCAAAGCACCACUCCAGAUGUGAUGGGUGGUGAGAGUCUCUUCCUAAAUCAAUCUUCAAAACUGGGAUAAUAUGCCAGAUACUUUUAGUGAAUUCACUAAAAGUAAUAGUUUUCAAAUGCUUCCAUAAAGUGGUACAGCUGGAGUUUGAGAAGGCUUUUUAUGGCUUUGUGUUUUGUUUUAUAAGUAAAGAGCAGAAAGGAAUACAUGCUAUGUAUGGCU